AGAGUUUGAUCCUGGCUCAGAUUGAACGCUGGCGGCAUGCCUAACACAUGCAAGUCGAACGGUAACAGGCCUUCGGGCGCUGACGAGUGGCGGACGGGUGAGUAACGCGUGGGAAUCUGCCUAGUAGUGGGGGAUAACCUGGGGAAACUCAGGCUAAUACCGCAUACGCCCUACGGGGGAAAGCAGGGGAUCUUCGGACCUUGCGCUAUUAGAUGAGCCUGCGUCGGAUUAGCUUGUUGGUGGGGUAAAGGCCUACCAAGGCGACGAUCCGUAGCUGGUUUGAGAGGACGAUCAGCCACACUGGGACUGAGACACGGCCCAGACUCCUACGGGAGGCAGCAGUGGGGAAUAUUGGACAAUGGGGGCAACCCUGAUCCAGCAAUGCCGCGUGUGUGAAGAAGGCCUGCGGGUUGUAAAGCACUUUCGGAUGGGAAGAAAACCUCAAGGCUCAUAUCUCGAGUCUGACGCUGGCUCAGAGU
rnacentral:rRNA from 1 species